UUAAACGGAUAGUAGCUACGAUUUUCAUUAAAAUUACUUUUUUAAUCUAUAUGCCGGAUUUUGUACAAAAAGUAAAAUAAUUAUGAUUAAAACAAUUACUGGUUACGUUCCAUUAAGCAUUUAGAAGCUUUUUAACGUUUAACACCUACAUUUAUUUAUUGUCUAUAGAUAAUAAUUCGAUGUCAAGCCCAACCCUUAUUCAUAUGACCUUUACUCUUCAGUUCCCAAUGCGCAAUCGCACAUUGUGCCUCGAAGGAAAAUGGUCGAACAGGGGAAUGUUAUCGCGGAAAUGGUACGCGAAUUUACAGUUUCAGCGAGAAAAGAAACAAAAAAGAGGUGCAGACAAGUUAUUGUAAAUUAAAAAUACUGAAAAGCGUCGAUGAGAUCGGUCAAUAAAAUCACUCAAAACACCUGCGACGCAGGCAAAGUCAAACAGAAGUAGCCGACGGUUUGCGUAAUGUUUACAUUUCUUAAAUUUUCCAGAUCACAUGAAAAAAAAUCUCAACGUGUUCAUAAUUGUCAAAAAUAUGUUUAUGAAUUUACGGGCAGUAAUCUCCCACCUUAGAAGAAAUUAGAAAUCAACUUCCUAAACUUUAGUAUUAUUCUUCAAGUGCAUCCUUCAUGGAGGCCCCGAUUUAACACACAAACACGUGUAUACAUUAUCGGGAUGGUUGGUCAUACAAAUGUAAUAACAAGUGUAUAAUAUCGCCAUUGUUGGAGAAUCUUGGGUUGGAAUAAUAUGCCGGUAUUUAUUAUAUUUUUUAUUUACAUAAUUUGAUAAAUGGCGUCAAAUAUGUACGUUUAAUAAAGAGUAAUUAUCAAAUAUGUAAGAAAACAAAAAGCACGUGUUCGUAUCUAUAUAUAUCUUGGUUAGCUCACUCGCUAUGUCGGCAAAGUUCGGGAAGUAAACCCGAUGCAUAAUUAAUGAGGUGAAUAGGCACACAACACGAUAUGAAUUAUCAAUUAUUUAACACUUCUGUAGUUUAUUAAAACAUUUUAGCGAUCUUAUUGCUUAUAUUUAGUACAUAUCUUUGAUUUUAGUAGCUUUAAAACUUGUUCAUAAUUUUGUCAAAAUCGUAG
rnacentral:lncRNA from 1 species